rnacentral:lncRNA from 1 species
AACGUGUAGUUUACCUAACACACAACCCCCUCUCCCUCCACACUUGAUGUUUGUUUAGGCAAAUUAUUUCUAAGUUUUUUCAAACAAACUAACCUAUAACUUACUCUGUUUGGUGAAUUGUUUGGACUAUGUACUAGCUAAUUGUAACCUGUGGAGAGAUAGUUAAGCAUAUAUGUUUUGCAAAAAGAGGACAUGUUGUAUCUUUUUACCGAGCUUAGAGGCACUUUCAGAGUUUCAGAACUGGGAUUCACUUUUGAUCAACCUGAGCACAAGUGUUUGGGGGGGAGGGGGCUUUUAGGCGAGAGAAAAAUAGUUUACAUGUUUUCUACCAACAAGCAAGGAAUAACACGUGAAUUUUUUCUGGUUUAUUAGUUCCCACUAGAGCAUCUAUUAUUCUGUCGAGGAAGAAGUAAAGACUAAUUGGUGUAUUUUUUGUGAUUGCCAACUGAUGAGACUGUCUGGGAAAGAAUAGUUCUCGAUGUAAUUCUUCAUGUGCCUACCACAUUGACAUUCUGUUCGGCUAUUUUUUCGGUUGUGUCGAAUAUAGUUUUCAAGCAAGUCCUGCACAUCAACCGCAAAUAAUAUAGUUUUCAAGCAAGUCCUGCUAUUUUUUCCGGUUGUGUCGAAUAUCUACCAUUUUUAGAGAAGUAAAAGUCAGGCAAAAUGACAUCUUAGGCACACAUUAGUAGGUGGUAGUGAGUAUUUUAGGAUGAUCAGGAUUAUGGAAAUAGACUUUCCAAAAAUCUGUUUGUCCACAAUAAUAGGCAAGUCACACAUUAAACUAUAGCAAGUCUCUUGCAGUUGUCAGGCAAAUCUUGAUUUUUGGAGUUGUCGCAAGUCACACGUAAAAUACUUUGCAAGGCCGAUAUAGUUGUCAAGCAAGUCCUGCUUUUCUCCUAUGCGCACCUUUUUUAAGGUGGUAUAAAAGGUUUUUGGGAUGUUCAGAAUGUGGAAACAGUAUUUUUUUCAAAACUUUGUUGUCCACAAAAUAAUAGGCAAGUCACGCAUAAAACUGAAGCAAGUCGUAUACAUGGUGUCAAGCAAAUCCUGAUCUUUGGUACUCAGAGCGGAAUCAAACCGAAACUACCUUUUCAUUUGUAUUCAUUUUCUUAGUAAUAAAUGGUUUUUUCGUUGUUGUCCAACAAAUAACAGCUCAAGAAGGAGUUUUCCGGGUGUGUGGAUGAUAGUUUGUUCAGCAGCAUGGACCAUGCCAUGAAAUUGGUGACGGCAAGACUCCCAGACUCAUAUGACAAAAAGGUCAGCCAUUCUUUUGAUCUUUUUGUCAUGUAAUUGACUAUUGCGGCUGCUAUGUUACUGCAAGGGAGCUCGUAAACUCAAUGAAGAGAAUGGUUUUCUCCUAUCCCCUGUUGUCGAAGUUGGCAUUGAGUAUAUAAUGAAAAAAUUGCCGCUAGACUCAAAGAAGGUGAUGCUUCUUUAGAUUCUCGGUAAAGUGGUGUAAGGUUCAGAGUUCAACACAAUCUAGCUCUAGUAGAAAUGGAUUUCAGUUACAAGGAGAGCAGUUAAUUUGGGAAUUUAUUGCUAGGGUUUCACUUGCUUAUACAGUGGCAGUAAGUUGCCUAAAAGAUGCCCAACAAGUUGUUUUAGAUCCAUAUGCAAUAUUGGUUAGUUUUUAUUUCUUUCACGUCGCAAAAAGGACACAACUUGCUUACACAGUGGUAGUAAGUUGCCUAAAAAAAGCAUCAAGUUGUUUUAGAUCCAUAUACAAGGCUCCUUAGUUUAGUUUUUUCCCACGUCACAAAAUGACACGACUUGCUUACACAGUGGUAAUAACUCGCCUAAAAGAUUCAAACAAGUUUUUUUAGAUCCAUAUGGAAGGUUCCUUAGUUUUUAUUUCUCUCACAUCACAAAAAGGACACAACUUGCUUACACAGUGGCAGUAAGUUGCCUAAAAGAUACCCAUCAAAUUGUUUCAGAUCCAUAUACAAGGUUCCUUAGUUUAAUUUUUCCCCAUGUCACAAAAUGACACGACUUGCUUACAUAGUGGCAGUAACUUGCCUAAAAGAUUACAAACAAGUUGUUUUAGAUCCAUAUGCAAGGUUCCUUAGUUUUUAUUUCUCCCACAUCACAAAAAGGACACAACUUGCUUAUAAAGUGGCAGUAAGUUGCCUAAACAACCUCAUGACCUUCCUACAGUUUUUCAGGGGAUACAUGAUUUGCUCAAUUCAACCCACUUUUUUUUUGCUUACAAGUGCUCAAGUAGUUGUUUACACCUUUUUUUUGCACAUUAAGUCUCGAGCACCCUGGAGAACACAGGAGUUGCUCACUGGUAACACUGUUUUCGCUUAAACAAAGCCUACAGGUUGCUACAAGUUGCUCACAUCCUUUUCUUUACGCACAUUAAGUCUCUUUUUUAGGAGCUCUGCCUUUUCAUUAAGAAGAUAAUUGACUAGUUAAUAAAAAAAUUGGUCGAAGACGAUACACAUCAAGUUCUAGCACGCACGAGCACACAGGAAUUGCUUACUGGCAAACACUGAUUUUACUUAAACAAACUUUGAAAAUUGUUGCUCUUUUUUUUUUUUCAACAUACUUGUAGUACAAAAAGCAACCUAAGAAAAACAUCGAGGGGUUUCGCUGGAUGUACAACAGCCAGUAGUUGGACAAAGAAAACUGAAACAGUUUUCAUGUACUGACAUGACUUGCCUAUUGUCAAUUUUGAUUUGCUUAAAAAACUACUACAGUUAUUCACACUUGUUUCUCCUACACAUCAAGUUCUAGCACGCACGAACACACAAGAGUUGCUUACUGCCAACACUGAUUUUGCUUAAAAACACCCUAGAACUUGUCUCCUCUUUUUUGUUUUCUCAACACACUCCUAGUCAAAAAGUAACCUAAGAAAAGUAUCAGGGGGUUUCUCCGGAUGUACAACAACCAGUAGUUGGAGAAAGGAAAAGGAAACAAUUUUCAUGUACUAUCAGGACUAGCUUUUUGUCAAUACUUGAUUUGCUUAAAACCCCGCUAUAGUUGCUCACUAAACCCGCUAUAUGCGAUAGAGGCGGGAUAGGGAGGUUGAAGAGGGGUGUGUGGGGUCUUAGGUUUCUAGGGCGAAUCGAUGGUUUUUGAAUGCGUGGGUGGUUUGUGGCAUGGGGAUGCGGGGGCUAGAAGCGUCGACAAUUUGAGAAGAAAGUGUCCAAAACUUGCCCAACGCAUGAUGGUUAGUUGCUAGAGAUACCGGCGCGGGUUGCCGAAAGAUCCUCUCCCGAGAGUACUGGGUUUAUUUUGCCCAAAACUUGCCCGAGCCAUGCUAGUUAGUUGCUAGAGAGGCUGGCAUGAGCGGCCCAAAGAUACAUUUUAGAAACAAAUUCAUUUAUAAUUGGAACCAAAGUUUCCAUUUACAAUAGGAUAUGUUGUCUGCAUAUAAACAUUACUUGCCUAAAUCACCAUUAAAAGUUGCCCCAUAUACCACCUGAAUUGCUUCCUAUACAAUUGGUAGCCAACUUAGAAGGCAUGGGAUAAAUAUGUAAUCGCGAUAGGCAAUCUACUGCAAAGUUGCUUUCUGUAGCACCAAAGUUGCCCCAGAUGCCAGCAAAGUUGCUUGAAAAAAAAGUUCAUCGAAACAUAUCCAUAUGAGAUCUUGUUUUGAAGAUCUUGCUGCGAGAAACCUAAUGGUGAAAACAGAAAUUAGUUUUGACGCUCGGUUUAAAAGUUGCAGCUUUUUGUAUUUGCUUGGAAUGAAAUUAAAUGCAUGUGAUGCAUUUCUAACUUGUUUGCCGCGUGCUAUUGCAGGAAGGAGUUACAGGAGAUGGAACCACUGGUGGGGCGGUAGAAUUUUUUUCUGUUGAGGGCGAUAGUGUGUAGGAGCAACCUUUCCUUUUUAGGAUAAUGUGUGGACAUGUAUUUACUUUUUUGGGGUGUGUGCUCCAGGGGACUAGCCAGCCAACGGUUGCUGGCUAGCCGUCGUUGAAAGGUGUAGAAGCAACGACAAUCUAGAGACCGUAAUAAUUUCUGUGUUUUGCAUUCCCAGGCAGAGUAACAAUGAAUCGCCACUAUUGUUUGGAUAGGAAGAGGGAGGGGAGAAGGAAUCUGCAUUUUUGAGUGCAAGCGGGGCAAGUUGCAAGCAGCACUUAGACAAGCACAUGUCAAUAGGGACAAAACUCUUCUCAUUUUUCGUGCAAAACGGAUCCAUGGUUUUUUUAGGUGAUACAAUAUUAAACCAUAGACACAGUGUGCGUUUUCUUUUGUCACUGCCCUCGCAACGGCGGCGGAACCCCAACAGCUCCACCUUCUUGUGGCACGCCGCGCACCGGUUUGCUGCCACCGCCGGCUGUUUCACGGAUGGUGGCACGGAGCGGUCAAAAACUGUUAAGUAUGUGAUUUGCUUGUUAUUUUUUAGGCAAACUCUGUGACUUUGCAUGUUUCUGAACGUGUAGUUUACCUAACACACAACCCCCUCUCCCUCCACACUUGAUGUUUGUUUAGGCAAAUUAUUUCUAAGUUUUUUCAAACAAACUAACCUAUAACUUACUCUGUUUGGUGAAUUGUUUGGACUAUGUACUAGCUAAUUGUAACCUGUGGAGAGAUAGUCAAGCAUAUAUGUUUUGCAAGAAGAGGACAUGUUGUAUCUUUUUACCGAGCUUAGAGGCACUUUCAGAGUUUUAGAACUGGGAUUCACUUUUGAUCAACNNN